UACGGAGGGGGCUAGCGUUGUUCGGAAUUACUGGGCGUAAAGCGCACGUAGGCGGCUUUGUAAGUUAGAGGUGAAAGCCCGGGGCUCAACUCCGGAAUUGCCUUUAAGACUGCAUCGCUAGAACGUCGGAGAGGUAAGUGGAAUUCCGAGUGUAGAGGUGAGAUUCGUAGAUAUUCGGAAGAACACCAGUGGCGAAGGCGACUUACUGGGACGACUGU
rnacentral:rRNA from 1 species